rnacentral:rRNA from 1 species
GACGAACGCUGGCGGCGUGCUUAACACAUGCAAGUCGAACGGAAAGGCCCUUCGGGGUACUCGAGUGCGAACGGGUGAGUAACACGUGGGUGAUCUGCCCUGCACUUUGGGAUAAGCCUGGGAAACUGGGUCUAAUACCGAAUAUGAUCAUCGGCUUCAUGGUCGGUGGUGGAAAGCUUUUGCGGUGUGGGAUGGGCCCGCGGCCUAUCAGCUUGUUGGUGGGGUAAUGGCCUACCAAGGCGACGACGGGUAGCCGGCCUGAGAGGGUGACCGGCCACACUGGGACUGAGAUACGGCCCAGACUCCUACGGGAGGCAGCAGUGGGGAAUAUUGCACAAUGGGCGCAAGCCUGAUGCAGCGACGCCGCGUGAGGGAUGACGGCCUUCGGGUUGUAAACCUCUUUCAGCACAGACGAAGCGCAAGUGACGGUAUGUGCAGAAGAAGGACCGGCCAACUACGUG